UACGAAGGGGGCUAGCGUUGCUCGGAAUCACUGGGCGUAAAGGGCGCGUAGGCGGACUCUUAAGUCGGGGGUGAAAGCCCAGGGCUCAACCCUGGAAUUGCCUUCGAUACUGAGAGUCUUGAGUUCGGAAGAGGUUGGUGGAACUGCGAGUGUAGAGGUGAAAUUCGUAGAUAUUCGCAAGAACACCAGUGGCGAAGGCGGCCAACUGGUCCGAUACUGACGCUGAGGCG
rnacentral:rRNA from 1 species